UGAGAGAAGAUUUGGGUGUGUUUUGGUGGGCAAUAAAACCCUUUGCCUCCCUUCUCCGACAUUUGAACCACCAAUGUGUAAAAUCUAUGAAUUGGUCAUCAAAAAUAAACCCACCCACAAACCCACCCAUUUUUAAGGCUUUCACUUUUUUCACAAAAUUAAUCAUCAAUAAAUUCAAUAAUAAUAAUGCAAUUGCAAACCCACUGCAAAAGAUGAAUAAAAAAUUUUACCCUACAGAAAGAAAACCGGAGAGACAGAAACAGAGAAAGAAUUUUGUAGACUGCCGUUGUGUCUUGGACUUCAGUUGAUAUGGCUUCUUCCUUUGAAAGACCUAAAAGCUAUUUGGGGUGUUUUGUUUAUAUAUUUAUUUAUUUAUGUUAAGGCUUUUAAAAAAACGAAAAUUAAUAAUAAUAA
rnacentral:lncRNA from 1 species